GUACUCUCACACUCUCCGAUCCUGUGGAUUUGGGGAGCGGUGGACUUGGGUGCCUGCUGCUUUCGCUGUGGCUCACCUCAAAUGUGUCAGUGCAUCUCUUGAUUGGACAUAGUACGGCGUGAUAAGUGUCUUCGCCGGCGCCUCCUUGAGAGGGUGGCCAAUUGGGAGCUCUGUGCUUUCAAACCGUCUUCGGACAAUCACUGACA
rnacentral:misc_RNA from 1 species